rnacentral:miRNA from 1 species
GAGGGCGGGCGGGGCCGGG